GAUGAGAACGUAGCGAAAUGCGAUAAGUAAUGUGAAUUGCAGAAUUCAGUGAAUCAUCGAAUCUUUGAACGCACAUUGCGCCCGCCAGUAUUCUGGCGGGCAUGCCUGUUCGAGCGUCAUUUCAACCAUCAAGCCCCCGGCUUGUGUUGGGGACCUGUGGCUGCCGCAGGCCCUGAAAACCAGUGGCGGGCUCGCUGUCACACCGAGCGUAGUAGAUUUUCAUCUCGCUCAGGGCGUGCUGCGGGUUCCGGCCGUAAAAAGCCUUAUUUACCCAAGGUUGACCUCGGAUCAGGUAGGAAGACCCGCUGAACUUAAGCAUAUCAAUAAGCGGAGGA
rnacentral:misc_RNA from 1 species